rnacentral:lncRNA from 1 species
ACCUGGGAGGCUGCAAACUGUGGAAGCUGUACGCACAGUGUAGCAGACUAGUGGUUAGAGGAGACCCCUCCCAUGACACAACGCAGCAGCGGGGCCCGAGCACUGAGGGAAGCUGUACCUCCUUGCAAAGGACUAGAGGUUAGAGGAGACCCCCCGCAAACAAAAACAGCAUCGUGAAGCUCA